rnacentral:tRNA from 1 species
ACAGUGGUGGUUCACUGGUAGAAUUUUCGCUUUCCAUGCGAAAGAUCCAGUUUGAUUCCUGGCCAAAGCA